UGUGGGGCUCCAACUCACAAACCAACCCGAGAUCAUGACCUGAGCCGAAGUCGGGUGCUUAAGCGACUGAGCCACCCAGGCGCCCCGAGAAAUCCUCUUUAUUUAUCAAAAUCUUUUUAGCCAAAUCUAACAGUAAUAGUGCACUUCAUAAAAUCAAGUAUUGCCACAAAAUGAUGGCAGGAUAAAGGACAAGAUCUUCUUUUAUAUGAAAGCUGUCCCCAUGGGAAAAGAUGGGCAAUAUAAAUUUAAGCCAAUACUUUUGGGAAUGCAUAGUGCUUAGAAAUUCUUAACAAGAUUGGAGAUUGAAAAAAAAAAUGUGAUGGAUUAAUGAUCAAGUAAACCUGUUAAAGUAGAAAAGUGCAGAUAUAGGCAAAGAAAGAGAUUCUUUUCUCUUACAUUUAGUUUGUGUUUUGUAAGUAGGAAUCACUAUCACUAUCUCUGUUGUUGUUAAACAACAGCAACAGCACUAACAGGGAUAAUCUUGAUUGACCAAAAGAUUUGUAAACAAUUAAAUUAAGGGCUUGUUCUUCACAAUGCAGAAAGAUUUGCCACUUUCCAUAACGUGCUGCUUUCUAGAAUGUGUCCAAUUAGGGCAUAAAAGUUGUUUUCUAGAUUCCUAAUUACUUCAAAGAUGAGUUUUGGUUUUGAGAUGAGUGUUGACAAGACAGAAACCAAACUACAGACUUUUGGAAGUUCGGACCAAUAAUAAGAAAUUAGCAAUCAAAUGUAAACCUUUCGGGAAUCGAAUAAAAACUUUGGUGAAAAUAGGUUUCAAAACAGCACACAAGGAGAAAGUCUUCUGCAUAAUGUCCAGUCCCACCAAAACCUAAAGACAGCAUUUAAUUCAGAUAUUUUGGGGGGACAAAAUAGGGUAACUUCCAGUUCUGGAGAGCUGACAGAUCACAAGCUUUCACGUCUCUUUGAAAUCAAUAUCCCACUGAUGUGACUGAAGUAAAACACAACAGAGGCUAAAUUAAAGCUGAGUUAGAGAGGGCUUCACCAGCGAACCAAAACAAAGAAAUGUUUCUCAAAGAGAUUUCUCAAACGGAUGCAGUCAAACUGAUGACAAGUCCCCACAAAGAGAACCCAAAAUACAGGCAUUAAGAUUGGACUAAGACAAAGAACACCUGCACGGAGAACCUGAGGGCAAGUCCUGCGGUCAAGGUUGAGAGAGAGGAAGACUCUGAAAUCAGAAUGCCUGAAUUCAUCGGAUCCAGGCUCCAACACCCUGCCUGCCUCAGUGUUCUCAAAUGAAGAAUGCAAAUGAGAAUAGUAUUUACCUGGAGACCUACUAUGAGGGUUACAUGAGAUCACGGAGAUAAAGCGUUUCACCGAAUGUCUGUCCUCCAGGAAGUGCUGAAGCAUUCAGAAUGUAACAAAAAUGAAAAUACCAAAUUCCAAAACCUAAGGGAGGCAGUUAAAAAUAAACAGAAAAAUCUUAUAGUGUUUUUCUUUAAAUAAUAUAUUUUAUUUAUCCCAGGGGUUCUCAGCCAGGGGAGAGUUUUAAAUGCCUUUAUUGUUCAAGGACUGGAAUGCAUAAACUAAUUGCAGCAGAGUCUGUGGGUUCCCUGCCCAGAUCCUCAGGGACCCUCUAUCAGCUGUGGCAUGUGCUCCUGCCAAUGACCUAUCCCUGCACGGGUCUGCAGUGGGCUCCCCUUAGAUGAUUUCCCCACCCACGGAUGCCUGAAGUUAACCAAUCAACAGCCAAUUCCAUUGAAUUGGUGUGCUUCUAUUCUAUCAAAAAGACUUCAAAAACCACAAGAAAGGAAAACAAGAAAAUAUACACAUAUUUGCUCAUUUGUGAAAGAAUAAACCAGAAACUAAUGUGACUGGUGACUUGAGUAAAAACAGGGUGGAAAAAUGGGAGAAUGGAAAUAGGAUACAAUCACAAGUGGGGUGUCUGACUUAAGCUUUGAUAUUCAAGGCAUCCAUUUCAAAGAGGCAACCACUUCAAAGAGGGCUGUCUGGAAUAAGCACAAUGCCAGCCACAGGACUAGAUCAAGAGCCAGGUCUCCUCCCCACCUGCUCAGCCCCUUUCCUUUAGCGAUAUUGGUAGAUUCCCAUAACUGGCCAUUUGGGCUGCUUCUUUUUUCUCUUCGCACACUUCAAAUUCCUGCUCCUCUUUUAAAUUCACCAAUAAAGAGUGAACCCUUGAAACUCUAACCCCCACCUUCAACUCCAAUAAAAGCAGAACCCCACCUCCAUGAGUUCUCUCCACAACCCUGCUGUACGGCCCCCCAGGUGUCCCAUGUGAUUUUGAGGACCCUUGAGUAAUAGACAUUUUAUCCCCCAAGGUUUCCUGAUGGUUGUUGCUGAGAGUGUCUUACAAUCAUAAUAAGAACCACAAGGACUGGCCCAGUCACAACAUAUAGUAUAAUAUAUAGUACAUUAUAUAUUCUACACUUAGGAUAUACGCCGAAGUGAUACUAGUGAUUAUCCCAGUGAAUGGGAAGGGUAGCCAGAGAAUGGAGGGAGAACUUCCACUUUCUAACAUAUUAGCUCUGUUUUCUUGAAUUUUUUUCAAUGAGCAAAUGCACACCUUUUAUAGUUUUUAAACAAAAAGAGGAGAAAAAACUCAUAAUUUCUAGGUGUUGUGACAAUACUUUGCCAAUAUCUAGUCUAUUUAUGUUGUUUGAGGAGAAAAUUGUGCAAGUGAAUGCUUAGCAUCCAAAGUCCAAAAUAAAGAAAGAAUGUAAGAAUUUCAAAAAAACAGAGGUUUCUUCUUGACCUUGAUCCAACUGCCUAAAGAAAGAAAAAUCAUACUAAUUGCUUUCCUGACACAUUUGACUUGAUCCCAUCUUAGCAGAACACUGGUAAUACCACUUCCUCUGAGUGUACCAUCUCUAACAGUUGCCUUCAGCAGUGACUUUGAAAUAAAUUUUAAUACAAGAGA